UACGUAGGGGGGCAAGCGUUGUCCGGAUUUAUUGGGCGUAAAGCGCGUGUAGGCGGCCAGAUAGGUCUGCUGUGAAAACUCGAGGCUCAACCUCGAGCUGUCGGCGGAAACCAUCUGGCUAGAGUCCGGAAGAGGAGAGUGGAAUUCCUGGUGUAGCGGUGAAAUGCGCAGAAUAUCAGGAAGACACCUAUGCGAAGGCAGCUCUCUGGGGCAUUACCUGACG
rnacentral:rRNA from 1 species